CAGUCGCCACGGGAAUACAGAGGGUGCGAGCGUUAAUCGGAUUUACUGGGCGUAAAGCGUGCGUAGGCGGCUUCUUAAGUCGGAUGUGAAAUCCCUGAGCUUAACUUAGGAAUUGCAUUCGAUACUGGGAAGCUAGAGUAUGGGAGAGGAUGGUAGAAUUCCAGGUGUAGCGGUGAAAUGCGUAGAGAUCUGGAGGAAUACCAAUGGCGAAGGCAGCCAUCUGGCCUAAUACUGACGCUGAGGUACGAAAGCAUGGGGAGCAAACAGGAUUAGAGACCCCUGUAGUCCCUGUCUCUUAUAA
rnacentral:rRNA from 1 species